CAACAGCUAGAGUUUGAUCCUGGCUCAGGACGAACGCUGGCGGCGUGCCUAACACAUGCAAGUCGAACGAAGCUCUUUUCAAUGCGAUUCGUCAAGUUGAAGGGAUGACUUAGUGGCGAACGGGUGAGUAACGCGUGAGCAACCUGCCCCGGAGUGGGGGACAACAGUUGGAAACGACUGCUAAUACCGCAUGACAUAUACUAACGGCAUCGUUGGUAUAUCAAAGAUUAAUUGCUCUGGGAUGGGCUCGCGUCUGAUUAGAUAGUUGGCGGGGUAACGGCCCACCAAGUCGACGAUCAGUAGCCGGACUGAGAGGUUGAACGGCCACAUUGGGACUGAGAUACGGCCCAGACUCCUACGGGAGGCAGCAGUGGAGAAUAUUGGGCAAUGGGCGAAAGCCUGACCCAGCAACGCCGCGUGAAGGAAGAAGGCCUUCGGGUUGUAAACUUCUUUUGUUGAGGACGAAGAAAGUGACGGUACUCGACGAAUAAGCUACGGCUAACUACGUGCC
rnacentral:rRNA from 1 species